rnacentral:rRNA from 1 species
GAUGAACGCUGGCGGCGUGCUUAAUACAUGCAAGUCGAACGGAAAGACCCUGCUUUUGCUCGUUUGUCGUUAGCGGAACACGGGUGUGACACGCGAGUAUCCUCUCCCUGUCUUUCGGAUAUCAUUACGAGAAUGCGGAUAUUAUCCCAUAUGAUCUCUUGCUCCAUAUGGUUGGUUAGUAAAAUUCGGCGGUUCGGUCUGGACUCGCUGCUUAUCAGCUUGUUGGUGGGGUAGUGGCUUACCAAGGUUUUGACGGGUAGCCGGCGUGAGAGGGUGACCGGCCACAUUGGGACUGAGAUACGGCCCAGACUCCUACGGGAGGCAGCAGUGGGGAAUAUUGCACAAUGGGCGGAAGCCUGAUGCAGCAACGCCGCGUGCGGGAUGACGGCCUUCGGGUUGUAAACCGCUUUCGCCUGUGACGAAGCGUGAGUGACGGUAAUGGGUAAAGAAGCACCGGCUAACUACGUG